UGGCGCAUAUUGUCUGUAAACGUUAUACAACCAUUCAAAAAUUGAAUCAAACCCAGGUAAGGUGCAGGUGCAUCAGGGGAGAUCUAACCCAGGGUAGGGGGUGCAGGUGCAUCAGUGGAGUCUACCCAGGUAGGUGCAGGUGCAUCAGUGAGAUCUACCCAGGUAGGUGCAGGUGCAUCAGUGAGAUCUACCCAGGUAGGUGCAGGUGCAUCAGUGGAUCUAACCCAGGUAGGCUGCAGCGUGCAUCAGUG